AGCGCGCGCAGGCGGUUCCUUAAGUCUGAUGUGAAAGCCCCCGGCUCAACCGGGGAGGGUCAUUGGAAACUGGGGAACUUGAGUGCAGAAGAGGAGAGCGGAAUUCCACGUGUAGCGGUGAAAUGCGUAGAGAUGUGGAGGAACACCAGUGGCGAAGGCGGCUCUCUGGUCUGUAACUGACGCUGAGGCGCGAAAGCGUGGGGAGCGAACAGGAUUAGAUACCCUGGUAGUCCACGCCGUAAACGAUGAGUGCUAAGUGUUAGAGGGUUUCCGCCCUUUAGUGCUGCAGCAAACGCAUUAAGCACUCCGCCUGGGGAGUACGGCCGCAAGGCUGAAACUCAAAGGAAUUGACGGGGGCCCGCACAAGCGGUGGAGCAUGUGGUUUAAUUCGAAGCAACGCGAAGAACCUUACCAGGUCUUGACAUCCUCUGACAACCCUAGAGAUAGGGCGUUCCCCUUCGGGGGACAGAGUGACAGGUGGUGCAUGGUUGUCGUCAGCUCGUGUCGUGAGAUGUUGGGUUAAGUCCCGCAACGAGCGCAACCCUUGAUCUUA
rnacentral:rRNA from 1 species